AUGGCUCAAAACGAACGCUGGCGGCAGGCCUACCCUUUGAAAGUCGAACGCCCCGCAGGGGGAGUGGCAAACGGGUGAGUAACACGUGGGAACGUACCCUUCGGUUCGGAUUCUCUCAGGGAAACUUGAGCUAAUACCGGAUACGUCCGAGAGGAGAAAGAUUUAUCGCCAAAGGAUCGGCCCGCGUCUGAUUAGCUUGUUGGUGAGGUAACGGCUCACCAAGGCGACAAUCAGUAGCUGGUCUGAGAGGAUGAUCAGCCACAUUGGGACUGAGACACGGCCCAAACUCCUACGGGAGGCAGCAGUGGGGAAUAUUGGACAAUGGGGGCAACCCUGAUCCAGCCUUGCCUCGUGAGUGAUGAAGGCCUUAGGGUUGUAAAGCUCUUUUACCUGGGAAGAUAAUGACGGUACCAGGAGAAUAAGCCCCGGCUAACUUCGUG
rnacentral:rRNA from 1 species